CCUACGGGUGGCAGCAGUAGGGAAUCUUCCACAAUGGGCGAAAGCCUGAUGGAGCAACGCCGCGUGGGUGAAGAAGGUCUUCGGAUCGUAAAACCCUGUUGUUAGAGAAGAAAGUGCGUGAGAGUAACUGUUCACGUUUCGACGGUAUCUAACCAGAAAGCCACGGCUAACUACGUGCCAGCAGCCGCGGUAAUACGUAGGUGGCAAGCGUUAUCCGGAUUUAUUGGGCGUAAAGGGAACGCAGGCGGUCUUUUAAGUCUGAUGGGAAAGCCUUCGGCUUAACCGGAGUAGUGCAUUGGAAACUGGGAGACUUGAGUGCAGAAGAGGAGAGUGGAACUCCAAGGGUAGCGGUGAAAUGCGUAGAUAUAUGGAAGAACACCAGUGGCGAAAGCGGCUCUCUGGUCUGUAACUGACGCUGAGGUUCGAAAGCGUGGGUAGCAAACAGGAUUAGAUACCCGAGUAGUC
rnacentral:rRNA from 1 species